rnacentral:tRNA from 1 species
GGGCCCGUAGUCUAGCCUGGACUAGGAUGCAAGGUUCGGGUCCUUGUGGUCCCGGGUUCAAAUCCCGGCGGGCCCA